UACGUAGGGGGCAAGCGUUGUCCGGAAUUAUUGGGCGUAAAGAGCUCGUAGGCGGUCUGUUACGUCCGCUGUGAAAAACCCAGGGCUUAACCCUGGGCUUGCAGUGGAUACGGGUAGACUAGAGGCAGGUAGGGGAGAAUGGAAUUCCCGGUGUAGCGGUGAAAUGCGCAGAUAUCAGGAAGAACACCCGUGGCGAAGGCGGCUCUCUGGGACGGUACUGACGCUGAGACGCGAAAGCGUGGGGAGCGAACAGG
rnacentral:rRNA from 1 species